rnacentral:rRNA from 1 species
AGCUCUCAAAAUGCAUAGAAUUAUUGCUGCGGUUAAAAAGCUCGUAGUUGGAUCUGUGCUGGGACGGUGGUCCACCUUCGGGUGCGCACUACUCGCUCUCGGCUUUUUGUGUCGGUUCUGUCUCGUCGUAGCCUUCACUGGUUGCGGCGGGUGGCUGACGAUUUUACUUUGAACAAAUCAGAGUGCUUAACACAGGCGUUUCGCUUGAAUGUUCUUGCAUGGAAUAAUAGAAAAGGAUUUCGGUUCUGUUUUAUUGGUUUUACGGACUGAGAUAAUGGUUAACAGAGACAGACGGGGGCAUUCGUAUUGCUGCGUGAGAGGUGAAAUUCUUGGACCGCAGCAGGACGAACUACAGCGAAAGCAUUUGCCAAGAAUGUCUUCA